rnacentral:lncRNA from 1 species
GCCAGACGCGGGGGCGGGGUAAGAAGUUGAGUGACAGGCAAGGCAGCAUCCACAUGACAGGCGGCGCCGACGGGAUCCUGCCCCUGAGCUUUCAUGAGCUGUUGAACCAUCCGGAAUUCACAGGCCUGUCAUGAGAGACACGAUGAGAAGUCCUUAAAGGUAGAUCGCUGAUUCACAGGGGAGCAGGCGGAGGCAAGGGCACCAAAUCAUCCUCGUGCACCUACUAUGCUGCGUGUCAACCGGAACAUACAAAUAAUUUCCACCCCCUC